rnacentral:misc_RNA from 1 species
GAAAUGCGAUACGUAGUGUGAAUUGCAGAAUUCAGUGAAUCAUCGAAUCUUUGAACGCACAUUGCGCCCUUUGGUAUUCCAAAGGGCAUGCCUGUUCGAGCGUCAUUUGUACCCUCAAGCUUUGCUUGGUGUUGGGCGUUUUUUGUCUUUGGCUCGCCCAAAGACUCGCCUUAAAACGAUUGGCAGCCGGCCUACUGGUUUCGCAGCGCAGCACAUUUGUGCGCUUGCAAUCAGCAAAAGAGGACGGCAAUCCAUCAAGACUCCUUCUCACGUUUGACCUCGGAUCAGGUAGGGAUACCCGCUGAACUUAAGC